AUGGAUCUCAAAUAAAUUAAAACUACCCCGCUGAAUUUAACCUAUACCAUAAACGGAAGGAA
rnacentral:rRNA from 1 species